AUUGAACGCUGGCGGCAUGCCUUACACAUGCAAGUCGAACGGCAGCGCGGACUUCGGUCUGGCGGCGAGUGGCGAACGGGUGAGUAAUGUAUCGGAACGUACCAUGGAGUGGGGGAUAACGUAGCGAAAGUUACGCUAAUACCGCAUAUUCUCUCCGGAGGAAAGCAGGGGACCGCAAGGCCUUGCGCCAUUUGAGCGGCCGAUAUCAGAUUAGCUAGUUGGUGGGGUAAAAGCUCACCAAGGCGACGAUCUGUAGCGGGUCUGAGAGGAUGAUCCGCCACACUGGAACUGAGACACGGUCCAGACUCCUACGGGAGGCAGCAGUGGGGAAUUUUGGACAAUGGGGGCAACCCUGAUCCAGCCAUGCCGCGCGAGUGAAGAAGGCCUUCGGGUUGUAAAGCUCUUUCGGCCGGGAAAAAAUCGCAUGGAUUAAUACUCUGUGUGGAUGAUGGUACCGGAAUAAGAAGCACCGGCUAACUACGUGCCAGCAGCCGCAGUAAGAC
rnacentral:rRNA from 1 species